UUAAUUUUAUUUUUUGAUGUUAAAAAUACACGAUGGAUACUUAAAUAUUGAUGUUUACCUUUUUUAUUUUGAUAUUUUAUGGUGUAGAUUAACCUAAGUUAAUAUAACAAUCAAAACAGUAGGGCAUGGAAUGGCAGAUCAACAUAAAUUUUCGGAUAAACUUUCUGGAUUUUGCCAAGUGAAGAACUCCAAUGAUAUACAUGUAGGGGCAUGUGUCCAAAGCUGAUCCACAUCAUAACAUACUGAUUGGGAAUAAUGACAUAGUACCAAAAGAUGUGCUUAUACUGUAAUUAGCAGAUCUUCACAAAUGAACCUGGCAGAUCCUGGUGCAACCUUACCUUACCAUGUUUACAUCUUACCGUCAGUUUGAGCUGUGUGUGGGUGGUAACACGGACUAUAUACAUGUAUUGCCCAGUAAUUGUCUUGUGAUGGACCUUUUUAACAUAUCAAGUAUUUAAUUGAAGACUUAAGAGGUCAGUUUUCAUCAAAGAAUUUAAAAAUACAGUUUUAUUUGUAAGGGUGAAUAUAUGGUUAUAAUGGCAUAAAUGUAUAUCUUGUGUCUGUUUUUUAAUCAGCCUUUCAUCCAUAAUUAUGAAUUUUAAGCAUGAUAAAGUAUUUUAAGGGAAUAUAAUGUAGACAUGUUAUGUUGUUUCUGCACAAGCAUUUGAAUACAAGAAAUUCUAUGCUCACUCAGCACUGUUUACACAUUGUCAAUGAAUUUGCUUGUUUUAGUUUCCAAAUCUGUCUGUCUCUAGCUCCCUGUGAAUAAUGUACUUUUUUACAUUGCAUCCAUUCAUUUUAAAUGGGGUGUAUUAUGCACAUGUCACACUUUUUUUACAAAAACAUUAAGGUCAAAGGUAAAAUAUAUGGGUCAAAAUCAUAACUUUUGCAAUAUUGAAGAUAGCAACUUGAUAUUUGGCAUGCAUGUGUACCUCAUGGAGCUGCACAUUUUGAGUGGUGAAAGGUCAAGGUCAUCCUUCAAGGUCAAAGGUCAAAUAUUUGGGUCAAAAUCGCUCAAAAGGGGACAUUGUGUAUUGUGUUUUACAAACACAUACCUUGUUAUGUUAUGUAAUGGCCUUUCAAUCAUCUUAUUUUUUUAUGAAAUACGCUGGAUUUGUCUUUUUAUUUCAUCCAUGAUAUCAUUAUGUUUUUUUUGCCUGUUACAUUUUGCGGCCCAAUGUACGUGUUAAGCAGUUUAACCAUUUACAACGGCAUUUGUGGCGAGGCUUACAGUCAUAAGGUUGGUCAUUACAUGCACUGCAUAUCAUAAAAUCGUUUGGCUUUUAUUGACAAAAUUUGCGAAAACGGUGUCCAAGACUAAACAUGACAAGUGUCGCAACUUCGUCCCCACCUGGGAAUUCAGAGCGCAAAUUUCAGAUUAUAAUGUGUCAGAUUUUACACUUGUAUAAUGAAGAAGUCAUCUCUUGACAAGAUGGUGAUGUACUGAUCUCGUUCCAAGCCACACAUGAUACUUGUUUUGAUUUUAAUCAAAAUCGGUGUUAAAUAGUAAACAUAAAAAGUGUCACAAAUUCGUCCCUAUUGAGAAGUCAGAGCUAAAAUUUCUGAUUUUAAUUUGUCAGAUUUUGCACUUUUAUAAUGAAGAAGUCAUCUCUUGACAAGAUGGUGGUGUCCUUAUCUCGUGCCGAGCCACAAAUGAUUCUUGUUUUGGUUCAAAGCAACAUAUAAACGAAGAUUUUUUUUAAUGUACUUUGUUUUAAAUUCUGUUCUUUGAAAAAUGCAUGUACUUUGUUUUAAAUUCUGUUCUUUGAAAAAUGCAUAAUAAGUCAUCAACUAUUAUAAUUUUAUGAAAAUAUUACUUUAAUUUUG